rnacentral:hammerhead_ribozyme from 1 species
AUCCAGCUGUCGAUGCCCAAAUAGGACGAAAUGCGCAUCCUGGAU